UUCUCAAGUUUUAAUUUUGUUCUAUAUCAUUAAGCACUAAAUACCAUUAUGCAGUGACUUGAACCCUUCUAGUUCUUUAAACCCUCUUAAAAAGCUUUAUUUUGCAUCAGAUGAAGUCUUCCAUCUUGUUUUGGUUCAGUUUAUUUCUACAAGAACAUCUAAUUAUAUUGGUUCAAUACAUGUGGUUGGGUGAUAUGGCUGGACUGAUAAGUAAGAUAGACCGUUCAUCCAUGGGUCCUUUGCCUGCGUGCUAUUACUCUACAUUGAAAUCACUUAUCAAGAGCAUGCUGAGGGAGAACCCAGAGCAUCGACCAAGUGUAAGGCUUUCCCAGAUUCUUAGUGAAGUUCAAAACUUAUAUUCCUCAUAGAGAAUAACAAUGAAUAUUUAAACAUUGAUCAGGCAUCUGAUUUUGUAACAUACCCGUAUUUGUAGCCAUAUGUUGAUCUAUACCAUAUAUCUUCUAAUCCUUCUAGUGCUUGUUCACCAGAGAAACCAAACUCCACUGCACUACACAUCAUGCUGACAAGAGCUUUGUUGAAAGCCAAAGUAGAAACAGUUCUAGUAGUGAUAAAGAUAGCUUAACAGCAAGCGAGAAAAGCAUGACAGAAUUGAUAGUCAAUUGUGAUUUUGAGGCUUCUGACACAGAUAUGGCUUCAACUGAUGAUGGAAUGGACUAUGGCCCAAUUGGUCAAACACUUGCCUCAUACACUUUAACCUAAGAGGCCACAACACAUGGUGGUGGAACAAUGUUUCCUGACGGGGCCAUUCAAUACAAUGAGAAAAUUGGGCAAUACAUUCCUAUAAGUGGAGGAAUUUUGAGGACAAGCCUAGAUAUGGAUGUGGGGUAGGUAUUGUUUACUUAGUUGUCUUCAAAUUUUUAUUUGUAUUUAAAUUUAGAAGUCCAUGUAAUUAAAAAGAAAAUUGCAUAAUUUGGUUUUCAUGUAGGUUGCAAGCUUUGGGGGUUACCUUAUUAAGGACGAUAUUUUUACCCUCUCAUUUGCUCCAAGAGUUUCACAUAAACCACAAAUACAAUUUGCUUUAGAAAGAGGAAUCCUAGCAUUUGUUCUAAUGCUUGGUACUCAUAGAUUGCCUUUUCUUGCGCAUUCCUUUGAUUUGCUCGUACUUACUUCCUCCUAAAUUAUUUACUUGUAAUGUUCUAUUGGUUUUUUU